rnacentral:piRNA from 1 species
UGGUACUGGAUCAUCAAUUUGGGGGC